rfam:Stegodyphus mimosarum contig78539, whole genome shotgun sequence.
GCCUUCGUGGUGUAGUGGUCAGCACGCUCGGCACUUAAUUCGAGAGGUUCGUGGUUCGAGUCCCGGUGAGGGCA